rnacentral:rRNA from 1 species
GGCCGCGGGAAUUCGAUUCAGGCCUAUCACAUGCCAGUCGAGCGGUAGAGAGAAGCUUGCUUCUCUUGAGAGCGGCGGACGGGUGAGUAAUGCCUAGGAAUCUGCCUGGUAGUGGGGGAUAACGUUCGGAAACGGACGCUAAUACCGCAUACGUCCUACGGGAGAAAGCAGGGGACCUUCGGGCCUUGCGCUAUCAGAUGAGCCUAGGUCGGAUUAGCUAGUUGGUGAGGUAAUGGCUCACCAAGGCUACGAUCCGUAUCUGGUAUGAGAGGAUGAUCAGUCACACUGGAUUUGAGACACGGUCCAGACUCUUCCGGGAGGCAGCAGUGGGGAAUAUUGGCCAAUGGGCGAAAGCCUGAUC